GCUGACACAUUCCAGCCAAUCAGCAGCAGACCCUCCCUCCCAGAUCCUCCCACUUCCUGGACAGCUCACUAAGAAUGCAGCUUCAAAAUGGAUGCUGUCCAGGAGAUGGGAGGGUCUGGGAGGGAGGGUCUGCUGCUGAUUGGCUGGAAUGUGUCAG